rnacentral:misc_RNA from 1 species
UCAAACUUGGUCAUUUAGAGGAAGUAAAAGUCGUAACAAGGUCUCCGUAGGUGAACCUGCGGAGGGAUCAUUUGAGAGUCCGAGUCGGAAGGAGUGCGAAGCCCAGUGCUUUUGUGCCCCGAAACCACCGACCCACCCUUCAGCCUGUGGAAACGAGCUGUGCUUCGGCGUCCCUUUGGGGCGCCGACUUUAUGCUGUCUGGCUUGUCUUGUCUGUUAUGAGAAGAGAAAUCAAAACUUUCAACAAAGGAUCUCUUGGCUCUCGCAUCGAUGAAGAACGCAGC